CAGUCGCCGCGGUAAUACGAAGGGGGCUAGCGUUGUUCGGAUUUACUGGGCGUAAAGCGCACGUAGGCGGACUUUUAAGUCAGGGGUGAAAUCCCGGGGCUCAACCCCGGAACUGCCUUUGAUACUGGAAGUCUUGAGUAUGGUAGAGGUGAGUGGAAUUCCGAGUGUAGAGGUGAAAUUCGUAGAUAUUCGGAGGAACACCAGUGGCGAAGGCGGCUCACUGGACCAUUACUGACGCUGAGGUGCGAAAGCGUGGGGAGCAAACAGGAUUAGAUACCCCAGUAGUCCCUGUCUCUUAUAU
rnacentral:rRNA from 1 species